rnacentral:piRNA from 1 species
UGUCGAUCCUGCUUUUAUGAG